UACGAAGGGGGUUAGCGUUGCUCGGAAUUACUGGGCGUAAAGCGCACGUAGGCGGAUCGUUAAGUCAGGGGUGAAAUCCUGGAGCUCAACUCCAGAACUGCCUUUGAUACUGGGAAUCUCGAGUCCGGAAGAGGUGAGUGGAACUGCGAGUGUAGAGGUGAAAUUCGUAGAUAUUCGCAAGAACACCAGUGGCGAAGGCGGCUCACUGGUCCGGUACUGACGCUGAGGUGCGAAAGCGUGGGGAGCAAACAGG
rnacentral:rRNA from 1 species